CAGCCCGCACGCCGAGCUGCCCACCAGGCCGAGCUGUACUUUGUGUAUGCCAACAUGCCGACAUGCUGUAAUUUGUUAGUACUUCAAGAUCAUAUAAUGGAAAAUUGUAUCCAAACUGAAGUAUAAUUUGACGAGCCUGGUUGCUGUAGCCACAGGGGACAAGAACCAGUGCUGGUAAAAAUGUGGUCUCAUGUGGUUUUCCAUACCGGUAUUCAGCAAGGAUUUCAGAGAAAGGAAUACUGUCUCCAAAUCAUGAUGUGCCAAUAAGCUCCAGUUAGCUGUGCCUUUUUCCUCCCACCGGUAGUCCUUCAAUCUGAAUCCAGGAGAUGCAGCUCUGAAUCCAAUAUUUCAGGAGAAUGAAGGUAAAACUGAAGCCUUCAGGAAGUCAAUGCCACCAUGGUAUUGAUUAAUUCAGCUCUGUUGUACUCAGCUGUGAUGUAACAUGCCUUCAAGCCAUUAUCCGAAGAACAUUCAGACGUUCUAAAUGGACCAUUGCCCUGUUGCCAUGGAAAUCAUUAUGAGGAGGAGCACACAAACUGUCACUUGUUUUGGAUAUCAGAUGUACCACGAACUGACCAUAAACUUUUCAGAUGCUCUGUUUAUUUCAUCAGCCAAUUUCGAUGUAAAUUUUACUGAAUAAUGACAAACAGUCUUACUCAUAAGCAUCUCUUACUCAUUCGUAUUCCACAACUAAACAUGCUUGCAAUUACACUGUGCCAUCUAUCAUAAUAUAGCAAUGCUGCAAUGUCCACAUUUUUUUUGUACCAGUUGUUGCUUUAUACUGAAACUUUUAUUGAAAUGGUGCAUAAACACUGACAACACAUCAAUGUUUCGUUCAUACAUUUGUACAUGUUCUUUCAGUGUUGAUAAUGUUGACAUAUUUCAUGAACAUUUACACAUGUGUUUAUUGCCAACCUCAUCAAAACAUGCUUAGUUUGCUCGCAUACAUAUUUCCAAAACAGACAUUUACUGAAUGUAUUACUACUUUACGUUGAUUUUGAUAUGUAAAUAAAACAUUGUACUACUUGUUUGUACAAAACACUUUUCAUUUGCUAUGUUGUUUGUUUCCAUGUUCUGUCUGCAUACAGAUGGUAUUAUCAUAUCAAUUUUAGCUCGACUAUUCGUAGGAUAUGGAGAGCUAUACUACUCACCCAAGUGUCGGCGUCACACCUUGGUUAAGGAUUUGCGUGCAAGCACACAUAGGUUAAUAUCUCAGUUACUUCUUGAGGUAUCGCAUUGAGACUUGAUACAAUGGUACUCAACCAUCCAACCUACUUAAUUAACCAAGUUAGAUAACUGUACUUUGCAUUUAAUGCAAAUUAUAGGCUUUUAUUAUUUGACUAAGAAAUUCUGGUUAAGGUUUUGCAUGCAAGCACACAUAGGUAAAUAUCUCAUUAAAUACUUGAGGUAUUGCAUUGAGACUUGAAACAAUGUUACUCAACCAUCCAACCUACUUAAUAAACCAAGUAAGAUAACUCUACUUUGCAUUUAAAGCAAAUAAUAGGCUUUUAUUAUUUGACUUAGAAAUUCUGGUUAAGGUUUUGCGUGCAAGCACACAUAGGUAAAUAUCUCAUUAAGUACUUGAGGUAUUGCAUUGAGACUUGAUACAAUGGUACUCAACAAUCCAAUCUACUGAAUUAACAAAGUUAGAUAACUGUAGUUUGCAUUUAA